AUUGAACGCUGGCGGCAUGCUUUACACAUGCAAGUCGAACGGCAGCGGGGGCUUCGGCCUGCCGGCGAGUGGCGAACGGGUGAGUAAUGCAUCGGAACGUGCCCAUGUCAUGGGGGAUAACGUAUCGAAAGGUACGCUAAUACCGCAUACGCCCUGAGGGGGAAAGCGGGGGAUUCUUCGGAACCUCGCGCGAUUGGAGCGGCCGAUGUCGGAUUAGCUAGUAGGUGAGGUAAAGGCUCACCUAGGCGACGAUCCGUAGCGGGUCUGAGAGGAUGAUCCGCCACACUGGGACUGAGACACGGCCCAGACUCCUACGGGAGGCAGCAGUGGGGAAUUUUGGACAAUGGGCGCAAGCCUGAUCCAGCCAUGCCGCGUGAGUGAAGAAGGCCUUCGGGUUGUAAAGCUCUUUCGGCCGGGAAGAAAUCGCAUUCUCUAAUAUAGGAUGUGGAUGACGGUACCGGACUAAGAAGCACCGGCUAACUACGUGCCAGCCGCCGCCGUAACAC
rnacentral:rRNA from 1 species